rnacentral:rRNA from 1 species
ACGUAGGGUGCGAGCGUUAAUCGGAAUUACUGGGCGUAAAGCGUACGCAGGCGGUUCGCUAAGACAGGUGUGAAAUCCCCGGGCUUAACCUGGGAACGGCGUUUGGAACUGGCGAGCUAGAGUGCGGUAGAGGGGGGUAGAAUUCCAGGUGUAGCGGUGAAAUGCGUAGAGAUGUGGAGGAAUACCGAUGGCGAAGGCAGCCACCUGGGUCGAUACUGACGCUCAUGUACGAAAGCGUGGGGAGCAAACGG